ACGGGUGAGUAAUGUCUGGGAAACUGCCUGAUGAGGGGGAUAACUACUGGAAACGGUAGCUAAUACCGCAUAACGUCGCAAGACCAAAGAGGGGGACCUUCGGGCCUCUUGCCACCGGAUGUGCCCAGAUGGGAUUAGCUAGUAGGUGGGGUAACGGCUCACCUAGGCGACGAUCCCUAGCUGGUCUGAGAGGAUGACCAGCCACACUGGAACUGAGACACGGUCCAGACUCCUACGGGAGGCAGCAUG
rnacentral:rRNA from 1 species